rnacentral:rRNA from 1 species
UACAGAGGGGGCAAGCGUUGUUCGGAAUUACUGGGCGUAAAGGGCGCGUAGGCGGCCUGCUAAGUCGAACGUGAAAUCCCUGGGCUCAACCCAGGAACUGCGUCCGAUACUGGUUGGCUUGAAUCCGGGAGAGGGAUGCGGAAUUCCAGGUGUAGCGGUGAAAUGCGUAGAUAUCUGGAGGAACACCGGUGGCGAAGGCGGAUCUCUGGGCCUUGCCUGACGCUGAGGCGCGAAAGCUAGGGGAGCGAACAGG